rnacentral:RNase_P_RNA from 1 species
UUGUCGCGGGCUGGCGCAAGCCAGCGUGAGGAAAGUCGGGACAGCACAGAGCACCAUACUUCCUAACGGGAAGGCGCCGGAGACGGCGACAGCAAGUGCCACAGAAAACUACCGCCCGCAAGGGUAAGGGUGAAAACGUGAGGUAAGAGCUCACGCAUUGCCAUGGUGACAUGGCAGUGAGGUAAACCUUAUGGGCUGCAAGACCAAAUAUACCGGCGCGUGGAGACGCACAGCCGUGCGCCCCUAUGAAGAAUCGCUCGUUCAAGCCGGGAGGGUAGGUUGCUAAAGCCUGACGGCGACGUCAGGAUUAGAGAAAUGACAAUCAAAUACAGAAUCCCGCUUAUGCCUU